UCAUUUUCAAGCCAAAAAAAAAAAACACUUCAAGAAUCAUUCUACACUAAAUUUACCGAUCACACAUUUACUUCGGCACGCUCUGGUUGAUUUGAAUAGAGUAUUUUGAUAAAAUUCAUGCCUAUAAAUUAAAGAAGCUGUUCAUUCAUUAAUCACCGGUACCGUUGUAAUUGAUCAAAUACAAACUCCUUUCUGACAACUUCUACAGGUUUUGCUAAUUGAGCAAAUGGAUUCUGCAGUUAAUGUGCCUAGAUGGACUCCAAGUCCAAGCCCCAGUCGAUCACUUCUAAAAGAGCCUGAAACAAAAGCUAACGUUGUACCGUCGAAAAGAGAAGCAGGUGUAGAUGACUUGGAGUUGCCAAGCAUAAUUUCUGAGGAAGAUGGCAAGCGUACAACGGUAGACAACACGUUCCCAUUUAGCCCUGGCACCACAACAGGUCCUGAUCCACCUCCUUAUUCAGGCACCUAUGAAGCAUUAUCUAUGAUGACAGAGAUGGAGCCACUCGGGACGUUACUAAAGGGAGGCAAGAACUAUGAUGGUGGGGGCUUGACAUCAAAGGGAAACAGCAAUGGCCUUCUCAUGACAUGGAUUGAUCUGUGGGUUACAGUGCCUGAUGGGAAAAACGGGGGCCAACCAAUCCUGCACGGUCUAACCGGUUAUGCUCAGCCAGGGGAGGUUUUGGCUAUUAUGGGUCCUUCGGGAAGCGGCAAGACAACUCUUCUAGAUGCUCUGGCAGGAAGAUUAAGUUCAAACACACAGCAAACUGGAGAGAUCCUAAUCAAUGGUCGAAAGGAGACACUUGCAUUUGGAACUUCGGCCUACGUUACUCAAGAUGAUACUCUAAUGACAACAUUAACCGUGAGGGAAGCUGUCUACUACUCAGCACAGCUCCAACUUCCAGAUUUCAUGUCAACAUCUGAGAAGAAGGAAAGAGCUGAGAUAACAAUAAGAGAGAUGGGCUUACAAGGCUCUGCCGACACCAGAAUAGGAGGGUGGGGCAUGAAGGGCAUUAGCGGAGGACAGAAGAGGAGAGUUAGUAUUUGCAUUGAAAUCUUGACCCAGCCCAAGCUGCUCUUCCUUGAUGAGCCUACUAGUGGACUGGAUAGUGCAGCAUCUUACCAUGUCAUGAACCAUAUCGUUAAGCUUGCUCGCCAAGAAGGAAGGACAAUUGUUGCAUCAAUUCAUCAGCCAAGUAGUGAGGUUUUUGAGCUCUUCCACAACCUCUGCCUUCUUUCUUCUGGAAGAACCGUCUAUUUUGGUCCUGUUUCAAUGGCAGAACAGUUCUUUUCUUCAAAUGGCUUUCCAUGCGCUCCUUUGAGAAACCCAUCAGAUCACUACCUUAGAACCAUAAACGCGGAUUUUGAUAUGGACAUUGAACAAGGGAAUGGUGGGAGCACAGAGGAAGCCAUCAAUGUUCUUGUCAAGUCCUACAAAUCAUCAGAGAUUUUCCUGCAAGUUCGCCAGCGAGUAGCUUCCAUAUGCGAGCAGAAAGGAGGAAUUCUAGAGAAGAAAGGAAGCCAGGCAAGCUUCAUCACUCAGUGCCUUGUUCUUACAAGGAGAUCUUUCGUCAACAUGUACCGCGAUCUAGGCUAUUACUGGCUUCGCCUUGCAAUCUACAUAGCAUUGUGCCUAUGUGUAGGGACAAUCUUCUAUGAUAUUGGCUUAACUUUUGGGUCAAUACAGGCUAGAGGCUCAAUGCUCAUGUUUGUUGCUGCGUUCUUGACUUUCAUGGCAAUUGGUGGAUUCCCCUCUUUCGUAGAGGACAUGAAGAUUUUCGGACGAGAAAGAUUAAAUGGGCACUAUGGUGUUGGUGCGUUUGUUGUUGGAAACACAUUGUCUUCCAUUCCUUACCUGCUCAUGAUAUCUAUAAUCCCUGGAGCAAUGGCCUAUUACCUAGUUGGCCUUCAAAAGAGCUUGGAACACUUUGUCUGCUUUGCACUGCUACUCUUCGUGUGCAUGAUGCUGGUCGAAAGUUUAAUGAUGAUCGUUGCAAGUAUCGUGCCAGAUUUCUUGAUGGGUAUCAUAACAGGUGCAGGAAUUCAAGGUGUUAUGAUGCUAAACGGAGGAUUUUUUCGGUUACCAGAUGAUCUUCCUAAGCCUUUCUGGAGAUAUCCGAUGUACUACAUUGCAUUCCACAAGUAUGCAAACCAAGGGUUCUACAAGAAUGAAUUCCAAGGAUUGACAUUCCCUAAUAAUCUAGCAGGAGGGCCGCCUACCAUUACUGGCGAAGAAAUUCUGAAAAACACAUGGCAAGUAGAGAUGGGUUAUUCUAAGUGGAUUGAUAUCGCUAUCCUCUUAGGAAUGGUGAUUCUUUACCGUCUCAUGUUUUUGGGAAUCAUAAAACUUGUUGAAAAGGUUAAACCAAUCAUCAGAGCUGCUUUUGCUGUCGCUCCAAGACAAUCAAAACAUGUCUAGAGAAUCCCUCUUCCUCACUUUCCGAUGAAGCUCGUGCUUAAUAUGUCUUUUUACUUCAUAGUUUAUAGUAUCUUCUUUAAUUUUAUCUUCUCACCAUGUUAAACUGUGUAGCUGGUCAUUGCAGAUAAUAGUUUAUGCAAAUAUUGAUUGUUAAAUAUUAGUUUUAAUUAGCGGUUGCAAGAAGCUUUGUUUGUUGUGCUUGGAAAAAACCUGUAACCUGUUAGUUCUUGAUC